GUAAAGUCAAGUAUCCUGCUGCGCGCUAAGCAAGAAUCCGUCUCUUGUUGGGUUGAUGUUGAGCCUUUUGGGCACU
rnacentral:tRNA from 1 species